AAUAAGCAAAGGUGAGGGCCUCUUGGGCCUGGCUCUGUGAGUUUUCACUGUGGUUCAGGUUACUGGAGUUGGAUGCAGCCGAAAAAGCUCAGAUGUGGCCCUGUGGCUCAUGUUAAGGGGUCACAAGUGUGCCCUGUGUCAGGAAUAGCACUACUUGCACUGGGGGCACUGAUAUGGAGAGGACAGAAGGAGAUGACAGAGAGCUGAGGGGGCGAAAUGAGGCGAACCAGCACUUCUCAGAAAACAGAAAAGAAAGCUUUUAGAGAGCUCUGAAAAGAAGCCACCACUGAAGCUGACUACAGUCCAACGUAUGGUAAAGGAUAGCGUGCUGCACGUCUUCUAGUGACCAAGUGUUUAAACUAAGAUUCAAUAUGGCCUGAGAAACUCGAUUUAACCUGGUAUUACAGCCAAUACUAAAAGGGGCUAAAAAGUAGUGGGGUUUAUUAAGGCAUAUGGAGAAUAAUAGAUGCAAUGGGGAAUUUGAAACGCCAACUCUCUGUGAAGAAAUAAUGCACUUCUAUCUUCCCCGGUAAACGCUGUGUGUGCUCAAAGGGAGCACUUUGCCAAAGGCCUUCAUUACGGCUAAAUGAGACUACGCAACUCCCUUCCCACCUCAUCAAACGGAAAUUUGGGCAUUUGGAUGAUCAAGGUUAAAAAAUUGCAAGGUCAAUCCUUCCUCUCUUGAUUCGCCUGGCUUUGUGAAGCAGCUCUUACCGUCCUCUCUUUGCUAUCCCAAUCUCCUCUCCACAAAGGACUCUUGGCCAGUAUGCAAACAGGACUAGGUCUCUGGACAUAUGGUAUAUUCUGCUGUCUAUGACAGAAAUAGCGCGAUGUUCCGAAAUGGGCAUGUCCCUCAUGGCACAUAAGGACAAAGUGGAGACUGUUAUGGCUGCCAAGUGUCACCCACCAGCUCUUGUCACACAGGCACUAACUCAUUGACCUUGCUGAAAUGUAAGUUUUAGCUUCAAGCUACUGAAUUUUCCCAGAUGUUUGCUCAUUUUUAAUUUGGCCAAUAUUUAAGCGCACGCAGGGCAUUCUCAAUAGGCAGAUAUUAAUCUUCUGUAUUUGCACACACAUGGUUUGCUGUUCUCAGAGCUCUGUGUUGUUUUCCUGGCAUUGGGGGGGGGGGUGGCAAAUAAGCAAACAGCUGAAAAACCUUUGAAGUGCUUCGGAAUGUGGUGCAAAGUUGGACACAGGAAAGAGAUGACUCCAAGUUGCUUGUUAUACCAAUAACAGAUGCAGACUCAGUCAUGGAAAUCAGAGACUUCCUCUCACUGUGCAGGAUACACUUGACCUUUGGAAUAUCUCAAAAUCUGUGUGUCUUGUGCUGUAGGAGAUUUCUUCCUGCAAUCUGGGCUGAUUCCUCUUUGCUUCAAGUGUUUCUCCUGCUCUAAUUAAAUUGAAGCUGACAAGUUUGAGGCUGUGAUAUACAACAGCUGUUCAUCCAGAAACACAAAAGAGAGAUAAAGGGCAUCUGAAGAGUUACAUUAAAUGAUUCUCUAAUUAGAAGAAAAAUAUUGACUACGUUUCUGUUCUACCAGAAGUGGAACUGAUCAGUGGCUGUAAGAAUGACAUUUGAUGUUUCUGCCUAUGAGGACAUUGCAGAGGAAUUAGGAGACAGCAUCAGAGUGCAGACAUCUUUCUCUGCUCUUAGUUGUGUGCCUGGCAUUGGUGAGGCUGGAUGUGAUGCUGAUCCACGCCAUGUUCAGCUAAACCUUCAUUACUAGGCUUAGUAUUCACUAUAUACUGACAUCAUCUUAUAAAUAACCUCUCAUGGGAGCCAAAUAGGCCUCAUUGUAUUAAUGGAAGUUUGACCUCAGAGACGAAGAAUGAAUUACUAAUCCAUUUUCCAGGGCCCAGACAGAGAAGUGAUAUUAUCUCCAUCCGGUUAAGGGAAAUAGUGCUGGGGCUGGGCAGUUUAGUUCAGUCUUGCCUCUACCACUGAAACUUAUGAGAACAUUGUCUCUUUCAGCCUCAUUUUAAAAAUAAAUUCCUGGGAGAGAUUAAUGAGAGAUAUACAAGGAGUCUAGCACGGUACCUGCCACGUGGUGCUCUUUUGAUUUUAAUUAAUAUCAUGAUAUUCUCAAAAUAAAAUGAGAAAUUUCAAAAACUAAGAAUGACACUUUGAAGUCACUAUUUUGAGAUGGUUAUUUUGAUGUAACUCUGUCAUUUGGAUUUAGAAGCAUGUUGAGUUUGACUUAAAAAAUGGUUUUAGUUUUUAAGGGAGUACCAAGCUAAGCAAGAAACAUACUCGCCAUGCUUGAUUUCUCAUACUAACCCCGUGACUAGGACCAGUACUGGUUAGGGUGAAAGUCAGCAUAAAGAUCAGGAACACCCACUGUGCAUGUUGCUUUGAGAUAAAAAUAAUUUUAUAUCUUGAUAUGAUAAUUCUGCAAUGACUGCAACAAAGCAGCAGAAUCAACAUGAUGCUAUAUCACGUCGCGAAACAGGUUUCCAAGACAUUUCAAAGCUAAAAUUCUAUAUUUACUUGAAAUAUCUCAAAAAAUAUACAUGACUGGUAGAGGAGAACAACCGCAAAGGGCAAAUGAAAAAUUCAGGAGGAAAGAAUAAACCCAGGUCCCUCUUAUUUUCCUUCAAACUUCUGUUCCACUACCUAUGACCCUAUAGUCUAAAAAUUGCAAGGCACACAAGUAGUUAACAGUCUUGGUGAAAAUACUUCAUUUACAAACGUACUUUUCCACGUCUAAAUUUCUUUCAUCCCUGCAGUGCCCUUUUGCCUGACUUGAUUGAAAUCUCUUCCUUUCUGUCUUCUAGAUGCAUUCAAAUUCUACUGAUGUGUGACUCCAGAGAAAGUUCUUAAAUUAAGGAGCUAGUGCAAAUCUUGUAAACGGAUCCAUCCCCAAGGGUGCUUUUUUAAACACUAGUUAAGUACUCUUGGAAAAACAAAGAAGAAUUUUGCUGUUAAAUUAGUUUUGCAAACACUGGACUUCAUUUCUUUUUCCUAGGAGAGACAUCUAGCAUCCAUUCUUGCCUUUAGGAUUCUAAGUAGACUACUUACAUUUGUCAUAACGGUGUGUGAAAUGUGAGACCAGGGAGCCCACUCCCUAACUCUCUUCUGAUUAAAAAUCUCUUAGUCUGGUUUUCUACACACAAGACAGAUUUGAAAGUACUUCUUUGGGAAACUGGAAGAAUCAAUGGUAUUACAUAAGAGAAUAAGUAGCCUUGUAAACUGUCUCCAGUAAGCCUAGGUUGGAGGAUGCCCGUUGAGUAGUUAAAAGACCUAGAGAAUAGUCCAAAGAAUACGUAAGAAGGACAUAAUAUAAGGAAGAGCCCAUGGCCCUGAUAAAGGAGAACAAAUAGAAUACCGUAUUUCAGGGUGAGAUAGUGUCUUACUGAAAAUUGAUGGGAGAUUUUGCAAAAUGCAAAAUGGCUUUAUAUCCAACUAACAGAACCACUUGUAUGAAAUUGUCUGUCUCAAGGUAGUGGCUUGAAAAUGUCACUUAGUUUAGUACUUCCAUCUUCCAUUUUAUCUGGAGGACGCUCACAACACUAGUUAAAAGCUUUCACAUUCCAGGUACGAUGCUUAACGGAGCAUAAAUCUGACGGCUAGUAGGGGAAGGAGACAGUAACUUUUCUUGAAAGAGUGUUGCCUGGAGUUUAUUCAGGAGGAUAAGGAUGAUUUUUUUUUUUUUUUUUUUUUGGCAGACUGAACUUCAAGGCCAAAGUGAUAUGUAAAUUAAAAUAUUCAGGAUAACUUGAAGCAGGGAGCAGAGAUUAAAGUGUCUCUAGUUAGGGAGAACUUAGGUUUAGAAAUUAUUCCAUAAAAAUAAUAAAGUGAAAUGCUAGCUUUGAGGAUUAUAUUUCGGUUUGAGAAAACCACAAAAUAGUAAAAAAAAAAAUGUAGUAAAUUAUGCAAGUUUGUCUUUGGAAUUUAUGCAAAUUUGAAAAUCUUUUGGUUUAAACACACUUGUGUCAUGGAUGUUCUUCCCUUAAAAAAAUAGUCAUUUUUAUUCUGUUAUUUUCCCACUCAGCUUUCCCUAGGCUGUCAAAAGCACAAGCUGCAGGGGUAAUGAUAGGAAGAUGAUGGCUGAAAUGCCAGCCCUAAUUAGAGGCUUGAUUGCUCUGUAAUUAAAAAAAGCCUAUAUUUGAUGUGGACAGUUCUGAGUUGUCAGGUUAGAGUGAAUCAAAUAUGUCUGUACUUUCAUUUUGAAAUGUGAAAAAUGUGAAUGUGCAUUAUUUAUAUUGUAUUUCAAUGGCUAUAAUUAAUUAUGUGUCUGUGUAAUGAUAUCCCUAAAGACAGUUGAUUUUAUGUUCAAUCUGUAUGUGCAUUUGCAAAGCUAAUUUGUUUCAUUACAAUUCUUAAGGGUUUAUUUGAGCUAAACUCAGGAGGUCUUGCUGGGUGUAAAAUUCACAAAGUACAAAGUGAAAGUCCAAUUUCAGUUUUUACUAGUAAGCUCUUCAGUGGCUGAAGCCAUGUACUAGAUAUUAUUGCAGUAAGUAUCAGCGGUCAGUAAAAAUAGACAUACUGCAACCUCAAAAAGUGCUUUUUUGUUUGAAAAAUGUGAGUAAAGUAAAUGAACAUGUUGCAAUUUGAACUCCUUUACUAAACGGAAGAAGAGUAUGUUUAUUCAAUAAAAUAUUAACCUUGCAGGGUAAGUUGAUCACUUUUUCUUGACAGCAUGUAACAUUUUGAAGACAUUUUGCUUCUUCUUAAAAUUGUCAUUCCUUACUAUUUUUAUUUUCAAUAUUUGCUUAAUAUGCAAACACCUGAUGUUAAAAUUUCAAAAAUAUUCUUUCAAGUGGCAUGGAUUAAGCAUUUUUUCUUUGUCAGUAUCAGGAGUUCAUUGAUUUACUUUCUAUGAGACCUACAUUUAAUUAGGAACAGUGAAAAUACUAUAUCUUAAACUCAUUGUAUUUAAAUUUCUUCAUGUAGUUGGAUAUUAGCCAUUAAAGUGAUGUUUACCAAGAUUAUAUAUUUAUUAUUUCAUCUACUCAUACUGUUAUUGGAAUAUCCUGGAUAGGCCAAAAUAUUAUCGAGUAGCUCCUUCUAAAAUGACUCGCCAAUUAAAUAUUCCUGGGUCUUCAGUUGCUUGCCUUUCCUUCCAGAGUUAGAUUACAGGUUCUUCUCUUCUUGGACAAAGAAACGAACAAAAUGAGCAAAAGGCAAUGGCCAAGUUUAUUUGAAAAAGUAAAAGCGAGAAUGAGAGAGAAACUGGCUCUGCAGGGUGAGCUUGAGCCAAGUAAAAAAGGCAAAAGCAAGAUAAGAGGACACCCCGGAGGAUGCAGGGCAGGCUGUCCUGAAGAAAGUCACGAUAGCAAUCUCUUCUUGACAUCUGUGCGUUUUUAUCUGUUGAAAUUUUGAGGAAAUCCAUAAAAUUUCUCCACACAGGUCUUGAAAGGUGAUCCUGGAGCCCCACUUCUCAGACUGGAAAACCUGCUGGAGCUCCCACAAGAAAUCCACAUGCAGGGCUUUGGAAACUGCUGUGUGUGUGUGUCCAGGUCAUAUCACUAACGGUUCUGCCUGCUUCCCCAGUCAGCUUUGCCACACCCUAAUCUCCCAUGUUAACAUGAUAAAUAACUAGCUUCUUCUAGUCAUGUUACAUUUAAUCAAUAAUUCACUGUGAUAUGUUCAAGGUGGUACUAAAGUUAAUUUUAAUAUUAAAGCAAUAAUGUUAAUAUUAAUCACUGAAUGUUCAAAUAAUAUUUAGUCUCAAAUAAAUGGAUUGGUAUUUA